GGCCACAGUCAGAAGAAACACUCUGGUCUUAUCUGUAUUAAAUGCAGCUUCUCUUUUUAUUAUUGAUGUAAAGUCAAAGUGUUUGAGAUCAGCUGAGGAUCAGAGUGCAGCAGGGCUGGAUGUGAGGAUGGGGCACUCUUUGCUCUGCAUGACGGGCUUAUUGUAAAGUUGUAGAAGUUUUCAGACGUGUCACUGCUGGAUGUGAGGAUGGGAGCCACUUUGCUCUGUGAGCUGGGCCUAUUCUUGCUCUGUACACUCCUCUGCACUGGACACGCUCAAGAUGCUGUGCUAACUAUUGAACCCAGCUGGUCCAGUUUUUUCAUUGGAGAGUUUGUUACCUUCAAAUGUGACAUGAAUGAAG